AUGCAACAGAACUAUGAAGACAGCCAGACCAGUGGAGGCAUGAGAGGAAACUUGGGUCUUACAGCUGCAGUCUUGACUGUUAUGUCGGUUUUGACCUUCAGUCUAAUGUCUCUUCUUUGUCUAUGGUGCAAAAGGAAAUCCAAGAUCGUUCAAGAGGAUCAUCAAAUUUACCCCCCGCGGACAUUCCGUCACGGUGGAAGCAUAUUUGCUGUGACUAGAUCAAAAACAGUCAUCAGAGCCAGUCAAAUCGCUUCUGGGGAACCCUGUUUCAAUAUUUCAACGGAUACUGUAGAGAACCAGUCAGACUAUGAAAACGUAAUGAGCGCUCAAACAGGAAGCACGGAACACGCAUACAUUGAACCGCUGCCUGUUAUAACACCUGGAAACGAAGAACAUUUUAAAAAGAUGAGCGAGGAGGAUCAGACUCCUGGAGUCUACGGAAACAUUGCAUGUUCACCUUCACAAGAAGACGAGGACUACGAGAACAUGGAGUACCUGAAUGAAGUUGAGGAGAAGCAAGAAAACGGUACAUGCUCACAUUAUUUUAGGACAUUUCAUAGAAAUGGAGGUCUUUACCGAUAA
rnacentral:lncRNA from 1 species